AGAGUUUGAUCCUGGCUCAGGACGAACGCUGGCGGCGUGCUUAACACAUGCAAGUCGAACGAUGAAGUUCCUUCGGGAAUGGAUUAGUGGCGAACGGGUGAGGAUCACGUGAGAAACCUGCCUUUCAUUUUGGGAUAACUCCGGGAAACCGGGGCUAAUACCGAAUACUCCGUCUCGGCGGCAUCGCUGAGCCGGGAAAAAAUUUUGAUGAAAGAUGGUCUCGCGGCCUAUCAGCUAGUUGGUGAGGUAAUGGCUCACCAAGGCGACGACGGGUAGCCGGCCUGAGAGGGCGACCGGCCACACUGGGACUGAGACACGGCCCAGACUCCUACGGGAGGCAGCAGUGGGGAAUAUUGGGCAAUGGGCGCAAGCCUGACCCAGCGACGCCGCGUGAGGGAUGAAGGCCUUCGGGUUGUAAACCUCUUUCAGUAGGGAAGAAGCGAAAGUGACGGUACCUAAAGAAGAAGCACCGGCUAACUAUGUGCCAGCAGCCGCGGUAAUACAUAGGGUGCAAGCGUUGUCCGGAAUUAUUGGGCGUAAAGAGCUCGUAGGUCGUUUGCCGCGUCGAUUGUGAAAAUCUGAGGCUCAACCUCAGACCUGCAGUCGAUACGGGCAAACUAGAGUGUGGUAGGGGAGACUGGAAUUCCUGGUGUAGCGGUGGAAUGCGCAGAUAUCAGGAGGAACACCAAUGGCGAAGGCAGGUCUCUGGGCCAUAACUGACACUGAGGAGCGAAAGCGCGGGGAGCGAACAGGAUUAGAUACCCUGGUAGUCCGCGCCGUAAACGAUGGGCACUAGCUGUGAGAGCCUUCCACGGUUCUCGCGACGCAGCAAACGCAUUAAGUGCCCCGCCUGGGGAGUACGAUCGCAAGAUUAAAACUCAAAGGAAUUGACGGGGCCCCGCACAAGCAGCGGAGCAUGCGGCUUAAUUCGACGCAACGCGAAGAA
rnacentral:rRNA from 1 species